UUCACUGUUCACACUCACUCCCCAUUCGGCUCUCUGGGUCUUGGACGGACAGACAGACAGACCGACACAUCUCUUUUCCACUCUGCCACCAGUCCAUCGCCGAUUUCUACAGUCAGAGUGAGAGAGAGAGAGAGAGAGAGAGAGAGAGAGAUGGGUCCACCAAACAAGAAUGCCCUUGCGAUCUCCCAGGAUGCGUUCGACGAGCUGGUGAAAGAGAACAUGGAAGACCUCGGCAUGGACCCGGUUGAAGCCCUCCAAGACGCCAUCCAGACCCUUACUCUCCAAGGCGUUGAUCUCUCUGGUAUAGUGACGUGCGUUCCUGGAGAGAGUAGUGCAAAAGACAACCCAGUGAUUCAUUGUUUGGAAAGAUUGAACGAGCUGGAAUCUAUUCCAAAGGAUCGAAUUAGUGUGGAUGAGAUGGAUGAGAUGGCUGGCUUGUUUGAUAAGCUAACAGAACUGUGUAGUGUUGAAGGGUCUGGAAAUGCAGCAAUAGCUGUAAAAAAUGGUGGGGUGGAAUUGGUUUGCUCUAUUUGUUCUAAGAUACCGAUUGGAUCCAAGAUUGGAUCCAAGCAGGUUCUUGUUUCGGCUUUGAAGACAUUGGCAUUGUUUCUUUACGAUGUCCAAAGUACAGAAACAUUUAGGUCCAGUGAUGGACCAACAAUCUUGGCCGGUAUCUUAAAAGGUGAAAGUGAAAGUUUAGACAUAUUGGAUUGUGGUUUUAAUGUUGUUGCUGCAGCUGCAACUGGCAAUGAGAUUCUAAAAGAGUCAUUCAUGGAAUUGAAAAUUGAUGAACUUAUUUUGCAAGUACUGAAUAGACAGAACACAGGGAAUGUUCAAAGUUUAUAUGAUGCCAUUCGUGUUCUGUUAACACCGGAUGAUAACCGUGUUGUGGCUUCCCAAGUUUAUGGUUAUGCACGAAGGUUUGUGAAGAUUGGGAUUGCUGGAGCUCUUGUGGACUCAUUAUGUGGAGGGCUUGCUUCACCUAGUCUAGUUUCAGCAAGCAUUGCUUUAAAGGCUGUUGCUGUCAAUGAUGAAAUAUGUAAAUCCAUUGCUGAAAGAGGAGGUGUUGACACAAUUCUCAAAUGUAUUGAUGACAGCAGUGAACAAGGCAACAAAACAGUAGCUAGAACUUGUUGUUCGUUGUUAUCCAAGUUGGCAGCAAGUGACUCAAAUAAGAGUGCUAUCAUAGA
rnacentral:misc_RNA from 1 species